CAGCAGCCGCGGGAAUACGUAGGUGGCAAGCGUUGUCCGGAAUUAUUGGGCGUAAAGGGCUCGCAGGCGGUUUCUUAAGUCUGAUGUGAAAGCCCCCGGCUCAACCGGGGAGGGUCAUUGGAAACUGGGAAACUUGAGUGCAGAAGAGGAGAGUGGAAUUCCACGUGUAGCGGUGAAAUGCGUAGAGAUGUGGAGGAACACCAGUGGCGAAGGCGACUCUCUGGUCUGUAACUGACGCUGAGGAGCGAAAGCGUGGGGAGCAAACAGGAUUAGAUACCCCUGUAGUCCCUGUCUCUUAUAA
rnacentral:rRNA from 1 species